UUUCAGCAGCAAAAGGCUUCCACGGAGAAGAGAAACGAGAAACACUCCCGAACCCUUACGCUAGUUUCCAAAUCCCGUAACUUCUCCGUCCGAGCUCUGAUUGCCGCACCGUUUGUGGCCACGUGUCCACCGCGUUGAGCUCUACGUUUUUACCAGAACAAUUUUAUAGGAUCCAAUUAGCUAUCACUCUUACUUAUGUGAAGCUUGGGUAAGGUGAGGAUACGAUAAUUCUAUUUUAAUUUCAUUGAAUUUGAGUUUUGAGUAUUAAAUUGGAUAUAUAUGUGUUAUGAAUGUGUAUUAGGUUGAGAAUAAAUAAUUGGAACUUGAAAUUGUCAAUAUUGGAACUUGGAAGAAGCUGAGCUUAGAGUUUAUUGAGUUUUGAGGGGCUGCCUUGGUUUUAAAUAAAUUGCUUUGGUCGCUACGUGAAAAAUCAGCUAAGAUGCAGGUCGAGAGACAUCUCGUUAGGCGUCUGGACUCCUGAAGUGAAGUGGAUACUGGAUUAUUUUGUUGUACAGAGUUGUAUAUAUAUGCGUACUUAGCUUUCUCUCCACAUAACUAUUCUUUUGAUCCUCUUAGAGGUUCAUGGAGAGACAGGAUCUUGUUUAUGUAUGUCUGGAAUUUUGGAUAUAUAUGUAUAUAUGUGUAAAUAUUUUCCGGCCAGCCUUGGUUUCGCGGGCUGAGUUAAGAGCUCGUUAUUUUGUAUCUUUGCCGCUCUACUCCUACUUUUGCUAUCUUAUGUUCAAUAGUUAUGGUUUUUCUGA